rnacentral:rRNA from 1 species
GCUUGGGAAUAUGCCUUAGGGUGGGGGACAACAGUUGGAAACGACUGCUAAUACCGCAUAACGUCUACGGACCAAAGGGGGCUUCGGCUCUCGCCCUUAGAUUAGCCCAAGUGGGAUUAGCUAGUUGGUGAGGUAAUGGCUCACCAAGGCGACGAUCCCUAGCUGGUUUGAGAGGAUGAUCAGCCACACUGGAACUGAGACACGGUCCAGACUCCUACGGGAGGCAGCAGUGGGGAAUAUUGCACAAUGGGCGCAAGCCUGAUGCAGCCAUGCCGCGUGUGUGAAGAAGGCCUUAGGGUUGUAAAGCACUUUCAGUAAGGAGGAAAGGUUAGUAGUUAAUACCUGCUAGCCGUGACGUUACUUACAGAAGAAGCACCGGCUAACUCCGUGCCAGCAGCCGCGGUAAUACGGAGGGUGCGAGCGUUAAUCGGAAUUACUGGGCGUAAAGCGUACGCAGGCGGUUUGUUAAGCGAGAUGUGAAAGCCCCGGGCUCAACCUGGGAACUGCAUUUCGAACUGGCAAACUAGAGUAUGAUAGAGGGUGGUAGAAUUUCAGGUGUAGCGG